AGAUUGAACGCUGGCGGCAUGCCUUACACAUGCAAGUCGAACGGCAGCACGGGAGCAAUCCUGGUGGCGAGUGGCGAACGGGUGAGUAAUAUAUCGGAACGUGCCCAGUCGUGGGGGAUAACGUAGAGAAAUUUACGCUAAUACCGCAUACGAUCCAAGGAUGAAAGCGGGGGACCUAAGGCCUCGCGCGACUGGAGCGGCUGAUAUCAGAUUAGCUUGUUGGUGAGGUAAAAGCUCACCAAGGCGACGAUCUGUAGCUGGUUUGAGAGAACGACCAGCCACACUGGACUGAGACACGGCCCAGACUCCUACGGGAGCAGCAGUGGGAAUUUGGACAAGUGGGCGAAAGCCUGAUCCAGCAAAUGCCGCGUGCAAGGAAGAAGGCCUUGGUUGUAAACGUGUACCGUUUUGUACGGAGCGAAAAGGUCUACGACCCUAAGUACGGCGGAACCCAAGUCGAACGGUACCGUAAGAAUAACGACGACCGGACUAACGUACGUACGCCAGCCAGA
rnacentral:rRNA from 1 species